AUGUCUGUGAGCAUUCUUAGAGUCAUGAAUCAUGACGACAAAUUUAAUUCUGAGAUCAACAUCAUAAAGUAUCCAGUGACAGCUAUAAGAAGUAGUCUUCUUUUAUAAGUCGGUAAAUGUAAAUAAACAUUGACUAGGAAGUCAUUUUCAAUCAAAAGGCAGCUCACAAAGAAGACUACAUAUAUGUAUGUAUGUAUAUAUGUAAGAAGAAAGUGUGACAGAAUAAUGACCAUGGAGGUGAGGGAUAAGAUGAAAUGAGCAGAAGCAGGCAGAAUACAUAGAUAAGCGAACGGAACAUCAAUCUCUUUAUAACCUCUACUGUCUAUACUUCAAGAAUGGAUAUCCUGCAAGUCGGCUUCGUAGAGUCUCCCUUGAAAGUGGACCUCGUGAUCUAGCCUUUAUGUCCGUGGAUUGACACUGUGAUGGAUUCCCCCCAAGUUCAUUUAGAUAUUCUCUCUUAUUCAUAAAUGUCACGGUCAGCUCUGUUCUUAUAGAUACCAGAAUGGAUACCCCUAAGCUGAUGUAUAUACACCCUUCCUCGGUUGUGAGAUUCCUGCUCUGGUGGUUGUAGUCAUAAGAUAUACAUCGUUGCGUACACCUUGGUUGUGGGCACGCACACUACUGUUGAAUUACCACCUUGUCCAUGUGGAUGGAUGCCCUCAAUGGGAUUGGCACUUUCUCCAUUGCUCCUGCGCUCUGUUAUCAGCACUUCGGGUUCAUAAUGUACACACAGCAAUGGAUUUUCUGCAGCUGAUUUUCCAUAUUCUGUUUUCUUCGGGUAAGCAGAAACAGAUGCCUUCCUCACUGGUCACCAGGUUCAAGGUCCCUCAUAUGUGUCAGGUGCAUAGUCACCAACAAAGGCCAACUUCACAUCAAUGGGUGGAUCAUACCUCGGCCUAAGCUCCAGGAUUGAUUGUGCUGUUAGAGUCACAGCUACAACCGGCUCAGGGAACCUAGUGGAAGAGGAGGUGGAGUGUGAGAGCCAAUUGGAAUGGAAGACAGUGAGGAAACAAGGCCUUCGAGACACAAGAGGACUGCUGAGCUCACAGAGACUGAGGCAGCACCCUCAGGACCUGCACAGGUCUAAGCUUGAUGCGAUCUGAGUACUGAGAGGGCAACUGGACACAAUUCUAUAUUGAUAACCCAGAAGCUUUCUCCAGUUGAUAAACUCUUUCAAAGGAAAAACUUGUUUUCUACCAUGGAGUGACACUGGACAUAGAA
ensembl:processed_transcript Rian RNA imprinted and accumulated in nucleus